rnacentral:tRNA from 1 species
GGGACUAUAGCUUAGUGGUAGAGUGCUUGCCUAACAUGCAUGAAGCCUGGGUUCAACUCCUCGGUACUA